CAUAAUAGGAAGGGCGGGAUCCUAAUCCUAAUCCCGUAAUCCCAAUCCCAAUCCUGUACUCCUAAUGCUAAUUCCAAUCUCAUAAUCCUAAUCUUGUAAGAUUUAUCCCAGAAUCCCAAAUUGAAUCCCGUAAUCAUAGUCCUAAUGUUAACCCUAUAAUCCUAAUUCUGGUCCCAUAAUCCUAAUCUUAAUCCCAUAUUUCUAAUCCCAAUCUUCAUCCUGUAAUCCUAAUCCUAGUCUUCAUCCCCUAUUCCUAAUCCUGAUCCCAUAAUCCUAAUUCACAUCGGGAUCCCAUAUUUCUAAUCUGAAUCUGGUUGCCAUAGUCCUAAUUCUAAUCCUGAUCCCGUAAUCUCAAUUCUAAUCCUGAUCCCAUAAUCCCAAUUCUAAUCCUGAUCCCAUAAUCCUAAUCCUGACCCGUAAUCUUAAUCCUCAUUCCAAACUCAUAUUCCUAAUCCUGUAAUCUAAAUCCAUAAUCCCAGCCUGAAUCCCGUAAUCUUAACACUAAACCUGAUCCAGAUUCCCUCAAUCCCAAUAAGGGGAAACCGGACCUGAACACGGCGCUCCCCAUCCGCCAGACCGCCUCCAUCUUCAAGCAGCCCGUCACCAAAGUCACCAACCACCCCGACAACAAACUCUUCUGGGAGAAGCGCUUGCGCGGGCUCAGCGCCUCCGACGUCAGCCACGAGAUCCUCAAAGCCAUGGAGCUCCCGCGGGGACUGCAAGGUGACCUUUGACCCCAGGCCUUGACCUUUGACCCCGGGCCUUGACCUUUGACCCCGGGCCUUGACCUUUGACCCCGGUCUUGACCUUUGAGUCCUGGUCUUGACCUUUGCCCCCUGGCCUUGACCGUUGACCCUCUGCUCUUGAUCUCUGACACCUGGCCUUGACCUUAGACCCUUGACCUUUGACCUCUGGCCUUGACCUUUGACAUCGGAUUUGACCUUUGACCCCUGGCCUUGACCUUUGGCCCCACAGUCUUGACCUUUGACCCCUGGCCUUGACCUUUGACCCUCUGCUCUUGACCUUUGACCCCUGGUCUUGACCGUUGACCCUCUGCUCUUGAUCUCUGACACCUGGCCUUGACCUUAGACCCUUGACCUUUGACCUCUGGCCUUGACCUUUGACCUCGGAUUUGACCUUUGACCCCUGGUCUUGACCUUUGACCCCCACAGCCUUGACCUUUGACCCCUGGCCUUGACCUUUGACCUCUGGUCUUGACCUUUGACCCCCUGGUCUUGACAUUUGACCCCUGGUCUUGAACGUUGACCCUCUGCUCUUGACCUUUGACCCCCCGCAGUCUUGACCUUUGACCCCAGGUCUUGAUCUUUGACCCCAUACCUUGAACUUUGACCCCCGCGGUCUUGACCUUUGACCCUCUGGUCUUGACCUUUGACCCCCACACUCUUGACCUUUGACCCCACACUCUUGACCUUUGACGCCAUACCUUGACCUUUGACCCCGCUCUUGACCUUUGACCUCUGGUCUUGACCUUUGAGCCCUGACCUUGACCUUUGACCCCAUACCUUGAACUUUGACCCCAUAGCUUGAACUUUGACCCCAUAGCUUGAACUUUGACCCCGUAGUCUUGACCACCCUGGUCUUGACCCCUGUGUUGACCUCUGAUCUUUUUGAGUGACCUUUGACCUCAUAUGGUGACCUUUGACCCCUUGCCCUUCACCUCCUGAGCUUUGACCUCGCCUUUGACCGCUGACCCCCAGGCUUGACCGUUGUCCCCAUAUCUUGACCUUUGACCCCCUGGUCUUGACCUUUGACCCCUGGUCUUGACCUUUGACGGUUGGUCUUGACCUUUGACCCCUGGUCUCGACCUUUGACCCCGGUCUUGGCCUUUUGACCCCGGCCAUGAACGUUGACCCCUGGCCUUGACAUUUGACCCCCUCUGUCUUGACCUUUGACCCCUGGUCUUGACCUUUGACCCCUGGCCUUCCCUUUGAGUCCUGGCCUUGACCUUUGACCCCCCCGUCUUGACCUUUGACCCCAGUUGGAUGACCUCUUACUCCUGGCCUUCACCUUUGACCCCAGGCUUGACCUUUGACCCCCCUGGCCUCGACCUUUGAAAAAUGCCAAAAAUUGGCAAAAAAAAUUACAA